rnacentral:rRNA from 1 species
GUGCCAGCCGCCGCGGUAAGACAGAGGCCUCGAGCGUUAGGCGGAAUCACUGGGCUUAAAGCGUGUGUAGGCGGAUCGUUAAGUGCCUUGUGAAAUCCCACGGCUUAACUGUGGAACGGCUGGGCAUACUGGCGGUCUUGAGCCAUCUAGGGGCGACUGGAACAAACGGUGGAGCGGUGAAAUGCGUAGAUAUCGUUUGGAACGCCAAUGGUGAAAACAGGUCGCUGGGGAUGAGCUGACGCUGAGACACGAAAGCCAGGGGAGCAAACGGGAUUAGAAACCCGCGUAGUCC